CCUUUGUAGGUGCCUCCACCUUUUUUUUUUUUUUUUUUUAAAGAUUUAUUUAUUUAUGCAUACAAGAGCUGGGAUACAGGCCAGAGGUGCAGAAGGUGAGAGGAUUCACCAAAGACAGAGUGGGGAGCAGAACAGGCAGACUGAAAUACACUGCUGAGGGGAGCAGCAGGCGAGACAGGAGAGGUCUGCCGUGCCAUGUGGGUAUCUCUGCAGCCGGCGGGGCUCGAACCGGCGCUGCAGAGGCUGCGGAUAGCUUCACAGCGCUGCACUCAACUGCCUGCGCCACUAGGAAGGCCCUGCCUCCACCUUUUUAGGGCCUCAGGCUGCAAGUUGGGAAGAAAGAUAACGGGGAUCCUAAUUCCAAACCUGAUGAAAUGGCCGGAAGACACUGGAACUGAUCUUGGAUCCUGUUUUUCCAAGAAUGGUCUACUUCCAUCUUGUUUAAUUCAGCAAGCUGCAUCAGCUUCUGUAACCAUUUACUCACCUACCAGUCCCUUUGUGACUUUGUAAGGAUGCAUCAGUUCAAAUACCAGCCUAUCUGUACAGUGCGUAGUAUCAACCGCUUUGAGAAGACAAAGUGCUUCCAAAAAACAGAUCUGUAAACAAAAAAAGAAAAGGUUAAAGCCUGCGAAGUCUUCUCCUUGCACAAGACUUCAAUACAAGAUUGCCAUUCGGGGGCUGAGCCCAGUGGGUUGCAUUUCCUAGCCUCUCCAGUCAGCUGGCUUCCUGGUGGCUCAGCUAAUAGAAGGCUCAAGCAAGGGAUCAGAUGAUGGAAGAGAGUAAAAGAUGCUGCUUCUGCUAGCAAAGGAGACUCGAUUUUGUUUCUGAUGCAUACUUUCUUGGACCGUAUAGCCCUUUGAGAGGCCUCAGGUUCUAUGGAAGUAUCAAGCCUUCACUCUUGUUAACUCAAGAUCUCUUCUUUUACUGCAACAUGUCAGUUAAAACUCCUUGGUUCCUGAGACCAGUAAGCCCCCAGGGAAGCCUCAUUGUCAGCUCAUCCAAUAUUCCCUUUCCCCUACCCCCAAUUUGGCUCCACCUUCUUUUUUUGAUCACUGAGAAUUUUCCCUUUCUUGUAAGCUUCUCUCUCUGAUUAACUCUCCAAGUUAUU